rnacentral:rRNA from 1 species
AGCUCCAAUAGCGUAUAUUAAUGUUGUUGCAGUUAAAAAGCUCGUAGUUGGAUUUCUGACAAGAGCGGCCGGUCCGAGCCCUUCGGGUUCGUGUACUUUGUGUUGUCUCUAGUCAUCCUUGUGAAGAACGUGUUUGGCAUUAACUUGUCGAGCUCGGGACUUGCAUCGUUUACUGUGAAAAAAUUAGAGUGUUCAAAGCAGGCAAUCGCUGUGAAUACAUUAGCAUGGAAUAAUAAGAUAGGACUUUGGUACUAUUUUGUUGGUUUGCAUACCAAGGUAAUGAUUAACAGGGACAGUUGGGGGUAUUCGUAUUUAUAUGUCAGAGGUGAAAUUCUUGGAUUUUAGAAAGACGAACUACUGCGAAAGCAUUUACCAAGGAUGUUUUCAUUAAUCAAGAACG